rnacentral:rRNA from 1 species
UACAGAGGAGCCAAGCGUUGUCCGGAUUGACUGGGCGUAAAGCGCACGCAGGCGGACGCGCGCGUGGGGUGUGAAAUCUGGCCGCUUAACGGCCAGGCGCCAUCCCAUACGGCGCGUCUGGAGUGAUGCAGAGGUCGGUGGAAUUGCCGGUGUAGUGGUGAAAUGCGUAGAGAUCGGCAGGAACACCCAGGGGGAAACCAGCCGACUGGGCAUCUACUGACGCUGAGGUGCGAGAGCGUGGGGAGCGAACAGG